rnacentral:rRNA from 1 species
GCCACCGAAUACAUUAGCAUGGGAUAAUGGAAUAGGACCCUGUCCUCCUAUUUUCAGUUGGUUUUGGCAGCGCGAGGACUAGGGUAAUGAUUAAUAGGGAUAGUUGGGGGCAUUAAUAUUUAAUUGUCAGAGGUGAAAUUCUUGGAUUUAUGAAAGAUUAACUUCUGCGAAAGCAUCUGCCAAGGAUGUUUUCAUUAAUCAAGAACGAAAGUUAGGGGAUCGAAGACGAUCAGAUACCGUCGUAGUCUUAACCAUAAACGAUGCCGACCAGCGAUUAGGAGACGUUGAAUACAAAACACCACCAUCGGCGCGGUCGUCCUUGGCGCGUCCGUGUUCACGCACGGGCGCGCGGGGGCGGCUUAGCCCGGUGGCACCGGUGAAUGACUCCCCUAGCAGCUUGUGAGAA